GUCCUCGAUCAGAGGGGAGGAAGCUGCCAAAAGGUCUUUGCUGAGCUGAGUUUUUCGUUUGCUUCGGGCGUGAGUGUGGCACAUGGCAGCAACAUCUGAGUCUGUGGAAGAUUAGAAAACAGACACGUCUUAACAGGCCCAGAUGGCCUGACUCCUGCUGCACCGUGACAGACCUUCACUUCAGCAGCCAGGCUGAACUCAAACUGCUGCGGCAGUCAGACUCCGGUUUUCUGAAAAAGGUGCACAUCAAAUGUUAUUUACCGUCUAAUUACCACCUUUAGUUGACGAGUGCACUAAGGUAAAGAAAGGUCUCAGCUGCAGCUCAUCCAGAGUCCUCACUAACACCAAGAAAGUGGAGCACAUCACACCGCUCCUUCAAAAUCACUGCGCUGGCUCUCUGUGUGUCGAAGGACAGAUUUUAAAAUCCUACUUCUGGUCUAUAAAGCUCUUUGCUCUACUUGCACAAUAUGAAGCAUCUGGAGGUUUUAGUCUCUCUGCUCUUCACCUGUGGAACAAGCUUCCUGAACACCUGAGAUCUGCUGCCACUGUCAGUUCAUUUAAAUCAGGGCCGAAAACAUCACGUACAUACUUUUUAAUCUCGUGCAUUUGCUUGUUUUUAAUGUCUUUUCUCGCUGCAGCACUUCUUUUAAAAAGCGUGUGACUUAUUCAAAUAUUUUUAGUUUUAUUUCGUUAAUUAUUUAUUUGUUUUUAUUGUUUUUAAUGUAUGUAAUGUAAAUGUAAAUUUUAAUGUAUUUCCAUGCCUCUGUAAAGCACUCCGUCUCACCUUGAUCACAGUGGAGCUGCCGGACAUGUGUGCCAGAGGUACAGAGACCAACAAUGGCUUUCUGUUUCCUCUAAAUUAUCAGGGAAUGGUAAAAAAAAGAAAAAUUGGGAAUAAUAUUAUUAAGUGUGGUGGGCAGACGUCAGUCACGCGAAGAUCCUGAACUGCAGGAAACAGUUAAAUGACGCGAUAUGAAGAGCAGCUUGGUACGAGGACGAGGAGACGCCAUGUGAGUCAUGUUUGACACGUUGAAUGCGGAUGUGACAGAUUCACAAAAGAUCCUAUAAAAUCAAAACAACAUCACGUCAUCACCUGACUCCACUCCUCCCGCUGCACAGGUAUGCCUACAAUAGCCCGUCAAAUUAAAUUAAGAAGACCCACUGGGUGUCUAGCCUAAAUAUUUGACCCAUUUUUCUUUUUUUUUGCAUGAGCCAAUUACCUCCACAACCUGUGUGGGAGGUUUUCUCACCACAAUGGCUGAUCUGUGUUGGCGAGAAAAUCCCUUCAGCGUUGCUCCUCAUGUAUCGUGACAAACACUGACAUUUACAGUCACGUCAAAUACGUCGCCUUUAAUCUGACUGGAAGUUUUUCCUGUGUGAGAGAUUCGUGAGUGUGUAUUCGCUCAUAUUUAGUCACAAAGAGUUUUCAUGUGGUCUGUUAUUGUGAGCGAUGUUCACGAUACAGCUGCACUUACUCAUAUAACUGGUAUCAAAGCAACACAGCACGAUAAUGGAGCUCAGUUCCUUGAUGUAAUUUUAAUGUCGGCUUCACAUGAUAGUACUUAAGACAACUGUUCUAACUUUAGAAGCAAUGCAUUUGUUUCAAUAGGCAGCAGGAAAAAAAACAAACAUAAUACAUAAAGAUAAUGAACUAAUUAGACUGAAAUGCAUCAAAACCCACUUUGAGGAUGAAAACGUUUCAGAUGAACUCCUGACCUCGGAUCACAUUUAAUCUAUUUAAUGUAAAGUCUAUUUAAUGGCAGCAACACAGGAGAUCUGUGAGCGACAUCCCGUUCAGCACCGACUGUUGCUGUGUUGAGGCUUAAUGUUACUGUACAUUUAACCAACUGUACGUGUGCUGUUCAUACUGUACCUUACAUCAACACUCUCUCUUCUCUAACUCUGUCCACUUCUCUGGACAUACCGAUCUAAAACAUUUACAUAUAUAGUUUUUGUAUAUUUGUAAGAUACAGCAUCACUUAUGCUGCAGUAACCUGCACUUAUCUGUAAAUAAUACUAUUUUUGCAUGUCUGGUUAGAUGCUAACUACAUUUCAUUGGCUUUGCACCUGCACAAUAAAUCUAAAUCUAAAAAUGAA